rnacentral:rRNA from 1 species
GAUGAACGCUGGCGAGAUGCUUUACACAUGCAAGUCAUACGAGAGUUUUAACUCAAGUGGCGGACGGGUGAGUAACACGUAAGAAUUUGCCUUUAGGAGGGGGAUAACAACGAGAAAUUGCUGCUAAUACCCCAUAUGCUUUCGAGUGAAAUGGAUUUUUUCCGCCUGAAGAGAAGCUUGCGUCUGAUUAGCUUGUUGGUAAGGUAAUGGCUUACCAAGACGACGAUCAGUAUCUGGUUUGAGAGGAUGAUCAGACACACUGGAACUGAGACACGGUCCAG